rnacentral:rRNA from 1 species
AUACGGAGGGUGCAAGCGUUAUCCGGAUUCACUGGGUUUAAAGGGAGCGUAGGAGGGCAGGUAAGUCAGUGGUGAAAUCUUCGAGCUUAACUCGGAAACUGCCGUUGAUACUAUCUGUCUUGAAUACCGUGGAGAUAAGCGGAAUAUGUCAUGUAGCGGUGAAAUGCUUAGAUAUGACAUAGAACACCAAUUGCGAAGGCAGCUCGUUACACGAAUAUUGACUCUGAGGCUCGAAAGCGUGGGGAUCAAACAGGAUUAGAUACCCUGGUAGUCCACGCCCUAAACGAUGGAUACUCGACAUACGCGAUACACUGUGUGUGUCUGAGCGAAAGCAUUAAGUAUCCCACCUGGGAAGUACGACCGCAAGGUUGAA